rnacentral:rRNA from 1 species
GUGACAUACCUACAACUGUUGCUUCGGCGGGUAGGGUCUCCGCGACCCUCCCGGCCUCCCGCCUCCGGGCGGGUCGGCGCCCGCCGGAGGAUAACCAAACUCUGAUUUAACGACGUUUCUUCUGAGUGGUACAAGCAAAUAAUCAAAACUUUUAACAACGGAUCUCUUGGUUCUGGCAUCGAUGAAGAACGCAGCGAAAUGCGAUAAGUAAUGUGAAUUGCAGAAUUCAGUGAAUCAUCGAAUCUUUGAACGCACAUUGCGCCCGCCAGCAUUCUGGCGGGCAUGCCUGUUCGAGCGUCAUUUCAACCCUCAAGCUCUGCUUGGUGUUGGGGCCCUACAGCCGAUGUAGGCCCUCAAAGGUAGUGGCGGACCCUCCCGGAGCCUCCUUUGCGUAGUAACUUUACGUCUCGCACUGGGAUCCGGAGGGACUCUUGCCGUAAAACCCCCCAAUUUUCCAAAGGUUGACCUCGGAUCAGGUAGGAAUACCCGCUGAACUUAAGCAUAUCAAUAAGCGGAGGAA